AAAAUGUGGAGGCCAAAUUUUAACGACUACUGAGGUCAGUAACGGAGAGGAAGAGAGCCAGCAGGAAGUCACCCAAAGGAGAGGAAAUGGUUUUAUGGUGUUAGUUUUGGAAAGGUUAGGGUACAAGACAAAAAAAGAGGUGUUCUGAACUCAUUCACAUUUUUUUCAAGACAUAAGAUCCUCCAAUCACAUUAAUAGUUUAAUAUUACAUUCUUUUUUCUUUGGCUUCAGCAUUAGAAUCAGCAUUAGGCAGAAUGGCAAUCUCAGUCACCAUUCACAUUCAUUGUAUGAAGAAAGCUGCAGAAAAAGUGAAUGGUGACUGAGGCCAACAAUUGGCCUGACAGCUCCUUUUAUGUUCCACAGAAGAAAGAAAGUCAUACAGGUUUGAAACAACAUGAGGGUUAGUAAAUGAUGACAGAAUUCAACUAUCACUUUGAGCUAAUAUGAUGUUUUGUCUUCAUUCUACACAUUAAAAUGUAAGGAGAGAGCAGACUAGACAGACACAUGAGACGUACAAGGCACCUGGGCCUCUUUAAAAAACAGUCAGCCAGGAGAAGCCUAAACUUCAAAGCCCAGCAUGCAAAACAGAACAGGAAGUACUGGAACCCAGCCAGGAAGUGAAGAGAGACUGCUGCGUUUACAAGAGGAGCAAGGGGAGAAAAGACCCACUAUGAAGGUUUUACGACACAACCUACAGAGAGAAUACCAGCACACUCGCUACGACUACGCCACUACGACAGAUUCCAACUACAGACUGAGAGGAAAAGGAGAAAAGACAGUUAGAAAUAAAAAGAAAGUGUUGUCAAAAGUACAGGUACUUCGGUACCAAGUCGAUACCAGAGUAUGUGAGUGGAGCGGAGUGGAAGCGGAGUGAGGAGUGGAGUGGCAUGAUUUUGCCUGAAGCUGGUUUUUAAAAAAAUCAGAGCGUUAUUGUUUUCUCUUGCUUCAAGAGCGCUCCACUAAUGCUACAUCACGAGCACAACACCUGUUAAUGGCCUUUAAUGCAAUAAUUCACCACAUGUUAUGCAGUGUUAAACACUAUUGGCAUGAAGGAAAGAUGGAAUUUCUGAUAUAACCAUAAAAAUUGUGAAAAAAAAAUAAAAAUAAAUCUAGAGGCACUUGGUAAUAUUCGACCUCCCGUGCGAAGGUUACUUUCGCUUUCACUCUCUGUAUUCUGUUCACGCUCCCUAUUAUUGAGAUAAGUUUGAUGUAAAGCUUGAGUUAACUACAUGCUCAUGUCUCAUCUCUUUAUUCCAAGAUCAGCUGGCAUAUAUUGAAAAUUAAUGACGGGACGGCGAAGGAGAACACGAGUAAAGAGGUGAUUGCCACGAUCAAAGGUUCAUUGUGAAAUCCUAAAAGACAUGUACAGAAAACAUGAUGAUAAUCCAUUCAUAUGUGGAGAGUAAAUCUAAAGUGGAUUUUUCAAAAGGCCUGCACCCCUGAGUCUUCUCUAUACUGUUGUACAUGAAACUGGUGUUGAGUUGGUAGAAUUCAAUGAAGCUGUCAGCUGAGGACAUGUGAGGCGUCUAUUUCUCAAACUAGAGACUCUGAUGUACUGAUCCUCUUGUUUAGUCGUACAUCUGGCCUUCCACAUCUCUUUCUGUCCUUGUUAGAGCCAGUUGUCCUUUGUCUUUGAAGACUGUAGUGUACAUCUUUGUAUGAAAUCUUCAGUUUUUUUGGCAAUUUCAAGCAUUGUAUAGCCUUCAUUCCUCAAAACAAUGAUUGACUGAUGAGUUUCUAGAGAAAGCUGUUUCUUUUUUUCCAUUUUUGACCUAAUAUUGACCUUAAGACAUGCCAGUCUAUUGCAUACUGUGGCAACUCAAAAACAAACACAAAGACAAUGUUAAGCUUCAUUUAAUGAACCAAAUAGCUUUCAGCUGUGUUUGAUAUAAUGGCAAGUGAUUUUCUAGUACCAAAUUAGCCAUUUAGCAUGAUUACUCAAGGAUAAGGUGUUGGAGUGAUGGCUGCUGGAAAUGGGGCUGUCUAGAUUUGAUCAAAAAUGACUUUUCAAAUAGUGAUGGUGCUGGUUUUUACAUCGGUAAAAAAAAAAAAAAAAAAAAUCUCCCCUAUUAAAUAUUUUGAAUAAUCAUAUAAUCAUUGUAAUCUAAUGCAUCGCAAUUUUAACUGUAGGCUCUUAUGUCCCGCAUUAAAUAGAAUUGAACUUUUAACGACCUAAAACACCAACUGAACUAAUCAAUAUGUUAAUAUUGCAUAGUCUGACUUUGACCAAUUGCCAUCUAAAUUUAUUUUAGUGCUGUAGGCUAAUUUAUGCAUUAUACAUUUGCAGAUGAAGAAGCUCAGCAAAUGCGAGCAGAGAGAGGUAGACUUAAAAUCUUUAAAAAAUCCAAACGCUAGUAUUUCUAAAAGUGAACUCUGCAUUAGACAUAUAGUUUUGAUAGUCUUAUCUAGUUUUGAUUUAAUAAAGUGUAGAACAUUCUGAGAAUGUAAUUUUUUCAUUCAAAAAAUUAUAGGGCAAGGUUAAUUAAAGGUGCACUAAUAGAAAAUAAAAGGCAAUAAUUGCAAUAAUACAUAGGCCUAAUAAUGUUUUUGUUUUUUUUAGUUUGGUAAUUUAUAAAUUUUAUUUAAUGUUUUUUUCGUCUUGUAAUUUAUUUAAUUUAUUAAAUCCAGAGAAUGUUGCAGGCAUGUUUCAAAAGUAAGCUAUAAAAAUAAUUUAGUCUUGGGCUAAUGUUAGUGUUCCAAUAAAGCACACUGAAGCUUUUCUUCCUAGUAUUGUGUAUUUAUUUUCAUUUAAUACAUCUUCUGCAUGGAGGGUUGCGAUAUUUAAAAGCAUACUGAAAAAAACUUUACAGUGGAGAGGUAGUCAGGUGCUAAUUUUGCCAUGGAGCGAACAUGGAGCAGGGUGUCUCUAAUCCAGGAGCGUGGAGCGGGAAAUGGCAACCCGGAGUGGAGCUGGAUCAAAGUGAUUAAAGAAUGCUUUGAGCGCGGAGGAGAAAUUGUAACGAUACCAGUGAUUCUGCAAUACUGGUAGUACCAAGCACCGACUCAAUCCGGUACCAGCUAACUGACACAUGACGGCUUUAAAAUGCUCACAGGCUUAUUUUGAACGUGUGCUCUGUUACUCCUUUUAAACGGAAAUGGGAAAUUUAUCAAAUUAAAAUCGUGAAACCACUAAUGGCUGGAAUCUUCAGCGUGGGUGAGCAAUGUAUAAACCCGACCACUCAAACACUGGAAACGCAUCAGACAUCGAGAAUCAUUCGCGUUGUAUCAGAUGACAGAGCAGAGCACUAAGCCACGGUGAACCACGCAGCACAUGUAAAAUAUAUAUUUAUAUAAUUAAACCACAGCAUUUGUGCUUUUAUCUCAACUCAACUUUAUUUAUAUCAUAUUUAAAACAACAGAGUUGACCAAAGUGAUUCAAAGUAAUAAAAUUUAAAACAUAAAAUUUCAAAAUUAACACAUACAUAAACAUCAGUAAUCUAAAAUCCAAACACUACAAAACAGUGUCUUACAUUUCAUUUGUCAGACUCAAAGACUAGUGUAAAGAGAUGAGAUUUCAGACGUAGCACAAAAGUCUUCAAUGAUCACACUGGGCCCUGUGGCAAACUGUUUAUCCGGUAAAGUGAAGCUUCCGGCAAAAAACACACGUCAUAAUAAAAGCACAAUUCAAAAUAAAAGCUAGAUGCCUGAAAUUGAAGAAAUUGUGACAGAAAUAUAUAACAACUGUAUAAUAAAAUGUAAUAUUUACUGUAAUAAUAAUAGUAUUAAUAAUAAUAAUAAGCAACCAAUAUAUCACAAGCGAGACUGCUGUUGAAUAAAAGUUUGGGGAAAAAAAUGCAAUGACAUGUUGAAAAGAUCCAUUUUUACUUGUUUAAAUUUUAAGAAUUGAUUGAUUAGACACCAUUUUGAUGAUGAAAUUAAACUUUAAAACAUGGAGUUCUGGAAAAUAAUUAUUAUCAAACUAUAAUUAUUAAAAUAAUUAUUAAAUUACACCCCUGAAUUCGUGAGUUGGAAUCCAGGGUGUGCUUAGUGACUCCAGCCAGGUCUUCUAAGCAACCAAAUUGGCCCGGUUGCUAGGGAGGGUAGAGUCACGAGGUAACAUCCUUGUGAUCGCAAUUAGUGGUUCUCGCUCUCAAUGGGGCAUGUGAUAAGUUGUGCGUGGAUCAUGGAGAGUAGCAUGAGCCUCCACAUGCUGCGAGUCUCCGCGGUGUCAUGCACAACGAGCCACGUGAUAAGAUGUGUGGAUUGACUGUCUCAGAAACGGAGGCAACUGAGACUUGUCCUCCGCCACCCGGAUUGAGGCGAGUAACCGCGCCACCAUGAGGACCUACUCAGUAGUGGGAAUUGGGCAU